rnacentral:snRNA from 1 species
GGAUGUGAAGAUGAUCUGGCUUCGACAUCUGUCCCCUCAUUGUCGUGUCGCCAGGGUUGAUUUGCCUGAUCUGGCUGGCUAGGCGAGCUUCCCCUUCCUCCCUCACCCAUGUGCAUCUCUCCUGAAGCUGCACACUCUGUUGAAGUGGACGACCUUCCCCCCGGAGGGGAGGACCACACCGAUCUUUAGUCAAAGGUAUAUGAAUAGUUGCACUCCCCUGCUAGAACCUCCAAACAAGCUCUCAAAUAUGACCUCGAACCUUCCAGGACUCCCCAGAGCCAAACUGCUUUGCCAUAAGUCUCAGUUUUCUUAACUCUGUCAUGGGGUUGAGA